UUUCAAUGAUGAAAACUUGUCCAGUUCUGCUACUGAGUGCAUGUGAGUGACACUUAUGUUCCAACGCUGAGAA
ensembl:snoRNA